rnacentral:rRNA from 1 species
UCCUACGGGAGGCAGCAGUGGGGAAUCUUGCGCAAUGGGCGAAAGCCUGACGCAGCCAUGCCGCGUGAAUGAUGAAGGUCUUAGGAUUGUAAAAUUCUUUCACCGGGGACGAUAAUGACGGUACCCGGAGAAGAAGCUCCGGCUAACUUCGUGCCAGCAGCCGCGGUAAU